rnacentral:lncRNA from 1 species
CUGCCUGAGUGAUAUCCCUCCAGAGCCUAAGGGGUUCUGAAGCGGGCAAGUUCUCUAGGUUCCUCAGUAUAUUUAGGAGGGAGAAUCAUACACAUGCAGAGACCAGACCAAGGCAGAAGGAGGCCAGCCUUCUAUCACGUUGGAGAACAAGACAAGGAAAUGGUCCUGGGGAAGACCCAGUGAAUACUGGGCAGGGCUAGAGAACCUUCCUGGAGAAGAGUUUGCUCAGAAGGCAUCAUCUCAACCGUCCACCAACCAUGUUGAGGAGGAGAGAAUGAAGCAUUUGGAGGACCUGAAAAUUGUUCUCCAGAAGAUGCCAAACGAGAGAGAUGAACGCCAGAGAAUACUGGCAUAUUACCCUAGAAACAAUUUAAAUGACAGCCUGAGGUACUCCAUCCUACGAAGUGAGUCUAUUCGGCUGAAGCACAAUGCCAAGAGAGCACAGAAUGAGAACAGGGAGUUUCUAUGGAACAAAUUGCACUGGAACAGUCCAUUAAGGAAACAGCGAGGUUCCGUGUGGAAGCCAGUAUGAAAAACCACGUAACAAGCAGCAUCAGGUCUGCAACACUCCAGCAGAAACUUGCACAGGGCCCAGACCAGGACUACAGCUCUCAGAGACAGAACUGUCCACCAGGAACACUGAGGGUGCAAAGACUGACAACACCUCCCGCAUCUCAGUUCUCAUAACCAUAACACUCUUGGGCUGCAUUUGAAAGACCUUGAGAUAUCAUAUGGAACAUGCCUAAUGUUUAACCUUUUGAGAACUUGUCCAUCAACAACCACCACCCCGAAUGAGGCAUGUCUACAUUCAUCUUGAAGAGAUUUUUACCAUUUUGCCUGCCAUUCUGCUAUGCUUGCAAGGCCAGCAACAGGCUGGAGGUAUAUGUUGCAAAAUCUGCAGCCAUUGAAUGUUGAUUAAUUUACCUGCUGUAUUUGGUUUUCAGUUUUUAGUUUGAUUGUUUUAUGCAUUUGGUUUUUUUGUUUACACUUGAAGUUUUGUCAUUUAUUUGUUAACUUUAGUUUUUAAAAUUAAUAUGCUAUAUUCCUAAGGCUAUAUUAAUUGAACUCAUUGACUCCCCACUUUAAAAUGUUCUCGAAUAAAUUAAUGUUUGCCUAUAAAUAAAAAUGUGACCUCUAACCCUUCACUCAUAAGACCCUUCUGAGUCAUGUGUGGUUUUCCCUCCUGUAACAGCACAAGUAUAAGGCAACAGUGGUU